rnacentral:rRNA from 1 species
UACGUAGGGGGCUAGCGUUGUCCGGAAUCAUUGGGCGUAAAGCGCGUGUAGGCGGUCCGGUAAGUCCGCUGUGAAAGUCGGGGGCUCAACCCUCGGAUGCCGGUGGAUACUGUCGGGCUUGAGUACGGAAGAGGCGAGUGGAAUUCCUGGUGUAGCGGUGAAAUGCGCAGAUAUCAGGAGGAACACCAGUGGCGAAGGCGACUACCUGGCCUGUUCUUGACGCUGAGAAGCGAAAGCAUGGGGAGCGAACAGG